AGGUUCCCAGGCUAGGGGUCGAAUCGGAGCUGUAGCCACCGGCCUACGCCAGAGCCACAGCAACGCGGGAUCCGAGCCGCGUCUGCAACCUACACCACAGCUCACGGCAACGCCGGAUCGUUAACCCACUGAGCAAGGGCAGGGACCGAACCUGCAACCUCAUGGUUCCUAGUCGGAUUCGUUAACCACUGCGCCACGACGGGAACUCCGCUUCCUUGAUCUCUUAUCAAGCCCAAGAAUAUUUCUUCUUCAGCCCUAAUCAUUAUCCUGAGAGUUAGAAUUUACUCACAUUUCCUAAUUUGAACUGGAAUUCCAUUUCAGGGAGUUUUGUCUUCAGUUUGUUAUUUGUUGGUAGAUAAACUACACUUUAAUUCAACAGAGAUUUAUUUAGCAUCUACUGUAUGGCAAGCAGUAUGUUAGGCACUAAGGGAAAAAUGGUGAAAAUGCAGUAUUCUUUCUCUUCAUAAGUUUAUGCUUCAAUAGAAGCGUCAUAUAUUUAUUUAAGUGACUGUAAUUGAGAUAAACACUAUAGGAGCACUGUGAAUGCAGUGUAGGGGGAGCUCAUAAAAGGGAGCAAUUAACUGUUCUAGAGGAGCAUGAGGGUUGACUUUCGAGCUAAAUCUUUGAAGAUCAGUAAGGGAUUCCUACACAGAAAAGAAGUGACAGAGACUAUGAGCUAGGCAUUACUCUAGAUACUUUGGGGAAAGUCUUAAUCCAACAAAAGAAACAGAUAUAGAUGUAAACUCUAAUAUGAGGCAGCCUGCCUGCCAAUCCUACUGUUCUAAAAGCAAUGAAAGAACUGUGAUGUUAUGUUGAGAUACAGUCUGAACUGGAGGAGUGCAUGUAAAAGGGAGUGUAUCUCAGCCUUCAUGUCUACAAACAAAAUUCCUAUACAAAAAAAUAUUUUUUUCAUGUGGUCCAGAAUAUAACAUAGGUCAGUAAAUUCCCUCAAAGAAAGUUGACCAGACAACAAAACUCUUCGUGGGUUACAGAAUAUUAAAAAAUCUUUUGGUUCUAUCUUUUGGUGUGUGAGGAACACUCAGUGAAUGUCUCCCUCCAUUAACUUGGCGUAGAUGUCAUCAAUCCUAAGAAUUGGGUGAAGGGUACAGGUAGGAAGUUUUAUUUACAGUCCACUAAAAUAGCAACACAUUAUUAUGGUCUUGUCAGGUAUAAUAGACCCAACUAUAGGAUAUGCUUGCUUUGGAAAUCAUUAAGGCCCAGUGAUUAUGUCAGUUUAUUAAAUAAAUCAGAUUGUUCACUUCAUGCUCAACUUCCUCAUUUUUCUUCUUAUAAGUGCCUAAUGAUAAUCUAUGGAUAUUUUUUAAGCUCUAAAAAUAUAUUUUGACAUGAUAUUAAGUUUCUGUCCUAAAAGGAACUGUCUUCCCAGUUAAUACCUUAUUUCUAUUAGAGUUUAGUGGUCUAGUAAAAUGUAUUUACACGUCAUCCAUCCAUGCACUUAUCAACCCAUCUAUUCAUAUCAUUACUAAUCUUUGGCAAUUGCACAUGUGCAUGAAGAGCUAUCCUCAGGUUGUAGAAAAUCUAGAAAAACCUGACACUUUUGCAGAGGGGGAAAUCUCACAUUUCUCAAGGCAGCACAAGGAGAUGGACUUCCUGGUCAGUGCUAAAAACCACCCUUGUGCUCAUAAACAAACUAUUCUUAAUCAGCUGGCCUUUUCAUAAUCAAAGCAAAGUGGGCUAAACAAGCUUUUCCCUUUUCAUACACAUCCCUAAAACCACGUGUCACCAUUUUUGACAUUUUGUUCCCUUAACGUUCAUUGUAAACUGUUUUGAUCUGAAUAAAAAUGCAUGAAUUGGAGGCACAAGGCAGGAUUUACCUCACAUUUCCAAGCCUGUGAGUGAACUGUACACCUUUAUCUAUUCUUUCAUAAGCAUUUACAGAGCACUUAGGCCUGGGGAUGCAGAAAAGAACAAGCUGGUUUCUGCUCUUAUGGACUCCAAAUUCUGGUAGGGGAAACCCAACUUUGAUAGGCUUAUUCUCAGAGGAUAGUACACAAGAGCAGAGAGGGAAAGAGCUUGUGAUUAGGGAGAUUAAGUUUUGCAGAAAAAGCCAUUGGCCUGGAAGAAAAGGAGAGUAUACAAAACUUAAUAUCCCCCUAUGAAAUUCAUGAUGGUGUAAGAGAGCAUGGGAGUUAAGCAUAGUAGAUAUGCAUUGCAAGAUUAUAUUCUGAAACAUCAUCCUCUGUUUCUUUCCCUCCUGUUUCCUGCUGCUCAGACUGAUCCCCCAUUCAGAUAAUGGUAAGGCUAUCCCAACAGAUGCUGUCAGAACAGAAUUUGCUGAAGUGACUGGGAUUUUAAUACCACAGUCUCCACACCCUCUCCCCUUCCCUCUUCUCCCAUUGGGCAGCCCUUAACCAAUGACUGAUGGGAUGAGAGGAUAAAUAUUCUAACUCUCUUGUCCCUUGAGGGGGAAAAUUCUGAGGCAUGACCUUCAUUGUCUCCAGGGAUAGACUCUGGGAUGGAGCCAAAGUUACCCUCUUACAGGACUUGGUUUAAUAUUACAGCCUUGCUUGUUUUUCUUCCUUUCCCUAUUCCAGUUCCUUACUCCUUUACUGGUAUUUUAGGGGAACAUGUCCUAAUAAAUUACUUUCACACAAGUCCUCAUCUCAAGGUCUGCUUUUGGAGACUCAAUAUGAGAGGAUAUUCUAUACUUACUACUCUUAGGGUACAGUUACUUAAGAAAUACAAAAGGGAAAGAAAGGAGUCAAUGCUCAGCUUUUUAGGCUCAAAACAGCCUUUUGAAACUCCCAGAAGAGACAGUAAUGAUGAGAGUAAAAAUUUUGAGUUGCAUAAUAUCAAGAGUCAGAACCUCAAAGGAUUCAGGACACAAAGUUUAUGACAUAAAUAAAACACAUGAAAAAAAUACAGAAUGAGUCAGGGCAGUUUUCCCCAGCUGCUGAAAUUAGAUAGGGUUCUCAUAGAUUAGUGUAAAGGAAUGGAGAGUCAGGAGAUGCAAAUAUUGAAAUAGAUUUUUGUGUGUGUCCCUGAGAAUGGGUCCACAGGUUUCAUUCCUAAGAACUGCUCCUCAAGCCCCUUUCCAGGCCUUUCCCUGAGAGGAAUGAAGAAAGAGCUGAGUGGAGAGAGGGUGCAGGUUGUGUGGGCCUGUAUGGGCAUGGGAAGGAGGGUACAUAUUUCCUACAUAUCCUUGACAAUUGGAAACUAGAGGGCAAUGAAGAUGCCUCAGAAUUUACUAACAGAGCUAGAAGAUAAAGACUAGUUAAAUUGAGCCUUAAUUUUCUCAGUAGAUUCCAACUUGGAUAGGUUAUGAUAUCUGACUAUCACCCACACAGUGAUACAACAUGUCUUUGCUCCUGGAGUGUGGUAGAAAAUUUUGGGGUUCCAUAUCACAUUCUUUUGACUACCCUCAGAUAUUGACUGCAGCUCCAGUGGCUAGUUCUUGUGCAGACUACUCCAAGCAUGCACGAAAAUUUACACUUUACUGUCUAAGGAUGUUUCCUGAAGAUGCGGGGUUUUUCUCAAUUUGCAUGCAGGGUAGUCCAGAAAUACAGAGCAAUUAAUACCUCCAGGGGAAGUUCUCAACCAAUGAGGAGUGGGAGUUGGAGGAUUAGUGUUUCAGCACCCUAUUUUUCAGAAACAAUUAUGGGUCUCAUUCUAACCAGCCAUUAAGAGGAUGCAGUAGAAUAGAGUUCCAGUUGCCAGCAGUUCAACAACAAACUCUUUACUGUUUUCUCUUCUCCUAUGUCUCACUCUUUGCUGUCUCAUUGUUGUUUCCAAAGAUACAUCUCACACAAACCACCAGAAUCUAAUUCCUCCUCUCAGAUGCUACUUUUGGGCUCACCCAAACUAAGACACAUGGAGAAUCAGUAAGGGAAGAAUUCUUAUUUGACUGAGAAAACCCUGAAUUGAGUGACUUACCUUAAAUUACUGAAGCCUAAUUUUUUUUCUAUCAUCUGAAUAAAGUUUCAAAAUAGGACUUCAGUUCAGUUAUAGAGAAAUCAAAUUUAUAUUUUUGUUUACCUUGAUUCAUAGUCUGUAACUAUCCUAUCUGUCAUACAUGCUAGUUGUUACCAACAAACCCAUUAUCUCUUUUUGAGCGGGACCACCUGACUGAGGGGGGGGGAUCUUGGUGAAGAGCAGCCACUUAAUGGGCUGGAAAUGAAUACAUGACUCAAGAGCUUCCAACUCUGGUUGGCUGACUGGUAAUACAUGAGGAGGUUUGUGGCCAAAAAUUGUACCUAGAAAAGUAAUGAUGGCUAAGUGUGUUAAUCAUAGGUUGUACUUUUUUCAUCUGAGAAGGGUUAAUGGAAAGUAUCAGAAAAUUGCUACUAGAAAAAGAGACAAGAUAU
rnacentral:lncRNA from 1 species